CUGACCACACUUCAGGGAGCUUUGUCUCAAGGUGCCUGGGGACACACCAGCCAUCGUGAUGGCUCUCGCUUUGAGCUGCACGGCAGGUGGCCCUCUCGGCGUUUGCAUUCUAUCACUGAGGGACUCUGAGGUUUGGAGAC
rfam:Pteropus vampyrus cont1.177234, whole genome shotgun sequence.